rnacentral:rRNA from 1 species
UAAUGUAUGGGGAUCUGCCCGAUAGAGGGGGAUAACUACUGGAAACGGUGGCUAAUACCGCAUAAUGUCUACGGACCAAAGCAGGGGCUCUUCGGACCUUGCACUAUCGGAUGAACCCAUAUGGGAUUAGCUAAUAGGUGGGGUAAAGGCUCACCUAGGCGACGAUCUCUAGCUGGUCUGAGAGGAUGAUCAGCCACACUGGGACUGAGACACGGCCCAG